UGAUAUAUAGAUGAAACAUUUUGGAUGGAGUGAAAGCCUUUCAAAUUUUGGAGGUUGGUACUGUAGCUUUUAGAUAUAAUGAACGACCAGGUCAGGAAGCUUCGGUUUUCUUCUACUGUAUUUUGUUGUUUCAACAAACAUCAAACUAAGGCUAGAUUUAUGUUGCAAUCAUUAAGGAUAAAGUUUUUAGUUUUUUUUUUUAAUGCAUAACUUGGUAGAGGAUCAAGCUUUUGGCAUCGUUAUCACGAAUAAUUAGUCUUCUGGUGGAUAGCUUUUAGAUUCCUAACAAUCUGGUGCUUACAACGAAUUGAUUUCUCUCGAUUCAUUCAGAUGGGAAUUGGCUGGUACAGAGCAAUUUCCAGACUUCAUGAAAAUGUGUUUAAGAGUUCUUCACGAAAUUACCAAUGAUUUUGCCGAAAAGAUCUACAAAAAGCAUGGCUUGAACCCUAUAGAUUCCCUAAAAAGAUCGGUGAAGAGUCAAUUUAUUUUAUCAUGUCAAUUAUUUUUGUGUAUUUCAUGAUGCAUCAUGCAUGUCACAUGUCAAUUAUUUUGAAACAGUGGGUGCGAUUGUUGAAUGCUUUUUUGCCAAUGUUAGAGGAGUACUUGAACAAUGGCAUUGUGAGCACAGGAGUGCAUGUGGUCCUUGUCCGUACAUUCUUCCUCACGGAUCAUGCACAACGUUCCACAAAUUAUACAUUCGGUGGCUAAAAUUCUUCGUCUUUCGGAUGAUUUAGAAGGAGCUAAGUGAAGAUGAGAAGGGACUUGAUGGGUCAUAUAUUGAUUGCUUCAUGAGUGAACACCAAGACGUUUGAGCUGAAGAAGCACAAGGGCAUGUCUCCCACUUGAUUUCAUGUGAAUGGAAACGUCUCAAUCGAGAAAUCCUAACCCAAAAUCAAUUGCCAUCGUCAUUUAGAAUGGUGCCUUUGAUGUACCAUUACCGUCCCUCUCCAGUCUACAGGAACAAAUACAAAUGCUGCUUAAUUAAUGCCGAUGCUGCUGGGCUCAUAUAGUUAUUAUUAUGGUCAUGAUUUGCUUCACGAAUAAUUAGACAUGAGAUACCUUGCUCUACCGUCUAAUUAAGCACAUUGAUUACUCAUCGUAAUACGUAUCUUACGCCCUGUUAAUUUGUACCUUUGUUCUUGUCUCCAAUAACUAAAGGAUUUAAUUUUAUAUAAGACAUUAUAAACUAUUAUUCAAUAA